AUUGAACGCUGGCGGCAGGCCUAACACAUGCAAGUCGAGCGGAGCGGCGGACGGGGGAGUAAUGCCUAGGAAUCUGCCUGGUAGUGGGGGAUAACGUCCGGAAACGGGCGCUAAUACCGCAUACUAUCAGAUGAGCCUAGUGCGGUUUAGCUAGUGGGUGGGGUAAAGGCCUACCAAGGCGACGAUCCGUAACUGGUCUGAGCGGAUGACCGGCCACAUGGGAACUGAGACACGGUCCAGACUCCUACGGGAGGCAGCAGUGGGGAAUAUUGGACAAGGGGCGAAAGCCUGAUCCAGCCAUGCCGCGUGUGUGAAGAAGGUCUUCGGAUUGUAAAGCACUUUAAGUAGGGAGGCGUUACCUACAGAGUAAGCACCGGCUAACUUCGUGCCAGCAGCCGCGGUAAUUC
rnacentral:rRNA from 1 species